CUUGUCGCUAUAUAUUGAUACCCUUGUGUAAGUGGAAGGGCAUUUCACAUACAACCAGUUAAACAGAGCAAUUGUACAGUUCAAACACGUAGGAAGUGAUGCUUUAACCCUUGGAUGCACAACCUACCAAUACCUACACUCUUCCACGAGUGGGGUCAAAAAUAUGGGCAGAAAUCUGUGCCAUCAGAAACUGAAUUUGAAUAAGUUAAAUUUGAAUUUGAAUUGCUUGGAUUGAAUCUGAAUUGUAACUUGAAUAAAAGCUUUUGAAAAGUGAAUUUGAAUUAGUCUAAUUUGAAAUUGAAUUUAUGGUUUGAAAAUGAAUUGAUUUGCUUUGAAACUGCAUUUUAUCCUUUAAAAAUUCAGCUCUCGAAUAAUUUCAGUUUCACUCUCACCAUUCAGUUUCAGUUCUACAAUUCAAUUUCAGUUCCAAAAUUCAGUUUUCUGGGACUUACAUCCGGUUCCGGUUCAAGCGCAGAUUAAUAGAACUACGUUUUGCUAGCGGACUGAAAGUGUUACUGACGGGAAUCUACAGCGUCUUGAGCUGAAUUAAGACUUCAGAAGUCAUUCGUCAUGUCGAAUGACCAGCGGAUAAACUCUCAGGUAAAGAGCCUGAGGCCGGUGACAGUCCAGUUCUACUCUAAGUACAUCCUUACGGUGGCUCACAGGACAAGGCCACAUUCCUGUCCUGCCAGGAGAGAAGAGAAACUUCAGAGUCUUCAUGCAGUUCAACCACACCUGUCAUAUGAAAUAUGACAGGGGUCUCAAACGCCAGUCCACUGGAGUUUGAGACCCCUGCCAUAUGUUGUUCAUGCAAUUUUCUACCCCACAGUUACAGCAUGUCUGACUGCCUGUUCAGCAUAUGCAAAAAUAUAUGAUGAGUUUAAGCAUGUGAUGACUAAGGCCUUCCAUUAUUGUGUUUGUCAUCACAUGUCACAGACAUCUGGAUGAUCAUUUGGAAUAAACAAAAAACUUGUUACUUCAUCUUUUAUCUUUAUUAUUAUUAUUGUUCUUAUUUUACAUUUUUCAUUGUUAAGCAUUGGGUUUAUUUAUAGUAGUCCUUUCCAACUUCUUUCCCUCUUCCAUGUUACUGUGUCAGCUUGUCAGCAUCUAUUUGAGGUUGGGAGUGGAACAGAAAGUGCCAAUAAACCCAGGAGAGGUUCUUAUAUUUCAGAAGAAGGGAUUAAUUCAAAAGAAAUGACCUAAAUGCCAUAUUUUAUUUAGGAACCCUACACAGCACUUUGCAAAAUAACACAUUCUUAUAAUUUCACCCUCAGAUGAGCCAAGCUACGACUGUCAGGGAAGGUGAUGUAGGUACAGAGUAUGUGAGAGUGGUUAAGUUGAUGUCUCUUGUCUAGAUGAAGGCACAAGAGGGAUCAAUGGCACGGGGUAGAGAUUCAGUAUCUUCAGUCUUCAGUGGACACUCCAUUUCUGGCACAAAACACCUGUAAAAGAUGGUCGAUUUAGGAGGUGACCCGACAACUUCAGCCUGUCAAACAUAGCAAUGGAGCAGUAUGUUUAAAAAAAAAAAUCUAAUUAAGCAUGCACUCAGUACCCUAAGAAUUAUCAUGGUAGUUAAACACAGUGAUAGUUGUAUGUCAUAUCAUAUCACUUCAAACAGAGGUGAUCCAGUAAUGCUGCACUAAUGAAUUAGACUAACUAUUCACUUUAGCUAAAGUUAUUAAGUUAGCUAAAGAGUUAGGAUGCUGUGUAAGACAUAAAUAAAGCUCAAAUACAAAGGUUUGGACACCGUUUUGCAUGUUUCCCUACUGUAGGGUCUCUGCAAGCAUACAGGGCUCUGAGAGGGUACAAGAUGACAACUUUGGAAUUCUACUAGAAACAGUUGAUCAUAUUUGUUUGUCGAAGCUGAAUUCAGGGCAAACUAGGCUAAAUUAGCGUUUUUAGCUAGCAGCUACAAUAAGCAUAAAAGUUACUGUACGGCUAUCAUUUGUUAACAUGACGCUUGUUCUUAUAAAUGUAAUACAUUUAUUACCAACCUGAGAGUUUAUCCGCUGGUCAUUCGACAUGACGAAUGACUUCUGAAGUCUUAAUUCAGCUCAAGACGCUGUAGAUUCCGUCAGUAACACUUUCAGUCCGCUAGCAAAACGUAGUUCUAUUAAUCUGCGCUUGAACCGGAACCGGAUGUAAGUCCCAGAAAACUGAAUUUUGGAACUGAAAUUGAAUUGUAGAACUGAAACUGAAUGGUGAGAGUGAAACUGAAAUUAUUCGAGAGCUGAAUUUUUAAAGGAUAAAAUGCAGUUUCAAAGCAAAUCAAUUCAUUUUCAAACCAUAAAUUCAAUUUCAAAUUAGACUAAUUCAAAUUCACUUUUCAAAAGC
rnacentral:lncRNA from 1 species